rnacentral:lncRNA from 1 species
GGUUUCAUACAUAUAUUUUAAAAUUUUAUAGUGAAAGAAUAUUAGAUUAAACUAUAUAAUCUAUAAAUACAUGCAUAAGAUCUAAUCUUAAAAUUUUUAUAAAUAUAUCUAUGACCUAAAUUUACAUGCAUAAAAAUCUGAAUUUAAAAUAAUAAGCAUGUGAAUAAAAACAGCACACUGUGAUAGAUCUAAUCUAGCACAGUGAGGGUUCCGAACC